GUGGGGAAUCUUGCGCAAUGGGCGAAAGCCUGACGCAGCCAUGCCGCGUGAAUGAUGAAGGUCUUAGGAUUGUAAAAUUCUUUCACCGGGGACGAUAAUGACGGUACCCGGAGAAGAAGCCCCGGCUAACUUCGUGCCAGCUGCCGCGGUAAUACGAAGGGGGCUAGCGUUGCUCGGAAUUACUGGGCGUAAAGGGCGCGUAGGCGGACAGUUUAGUCAGAGGUGAAAGCCCAGGGCUCAACCUUGGGAUUGCCUUUGAUACUGGCUGUCUUGAGUACGGGAGAGGUGAGUGGAACUCCGAGUGUAGAGGUGAAAUUCGUAGAUAUUCGGAAGAACACCAGUGGCGAAGGCGACUCACUGGCCCGUUACUGACGCUGAGGCGCGAAAGCGUGGGGAGCAAACAGGAUUAGAAACCCGGGUAGUCC
rnacentral:rRNA from 1 species